GGAUUGAACGCUGGCGGCAUGCCUUACACAUGCAAGUCGAACGGCAGCACGGGGGCAACCCUGGUGGCGAGUGGCGAACGGGUGAGUAAUGCAUCGGAACGUGCCCAGUAGUGGGGGAUAACUAGUCGAAAGAUUAGCUAAUACCGCAUACGACCUAUGGGUGAAAGCGGGGGAUUCGCAAGAACCUCGCGCUAUCGGAGCGGCCGAUGUCUGAUUAGCUAGUUGGCGGGGUAAAAGCCACCAAGGCUUCGAUCAGUAGCUGGUCUGAGAGGACGACCAGCCACACUGGGACUGAGACACGGCCCAGACUCCUACGGGAGCAGCAGUGGGAAUUUGGACAAUGGGCGCAAGCCUGGUCCAGCCAUCGCCGCGUGCGGGAAGAAGGCCUUC
rnacentral:rRNA from 1 species